CUCUGGAUUGAUGAAUUGUGAAACGCUUGUGGUUUUCUUUUGUCCCUGUAAUUUCAGUGCUGCAGAUACUCGAGUCAAAGUCGACGAGGUGGUCACACUGAUUGGAGCGCCCUUCAUCCGAACCGAGCAAUCAGCAGCCGCUGGCUUUCAGGUUUCCUCGGCCCUGAUUCACGUUCAGUGUUCGACCACGACUCGACCCGUAAACCUCUGGCACACGACGGGACAGAGUUCAGACCGAAGAUGUACUGUUGCGUCAGAUCGCAAGGACUCACACCGACGAUGACAGGGGUGAACACGACCCAGCACAUCUUCCACCAUAUACAAGGCCGGUAGCCGAUCAUCUCCUCGAUGUUGUCGUAGAACUUGUUCACACCUGCGAGACAAGAUGAGUCCGUGAUCGAAAUAUUCAUAUCCAAUUUAUUUCAAUUUGUCCGCUGGUCCGCCACGCAUGGCGAUGAGGACGGCGAGGCGGAACACACGAGUGCUCGCGACCUUGAAGGCUUGAACAGCGUUUUGAAGCCACACAAAAUAUCUCUGGGUAAACGUUGACGAUACACACCGUAGAACCAGGAUAUGGAGAUGCAUUCAAAGAAGACCAAGAAGAGCAGACACAUUCCACUGGCAGAGUAGUAGUCAAACAGUUUGAACACAUAGAUGCCACCCUGUUUCAGAAAAAAAAAAUGAUUAGACAAAUGUGCAGAAUGCAGCAUAAGAUACUCUGUAAAUGUAACAGUUGCCAAAAAGCAAGGAAGAAGUGGUCCAGAGUUUAAAAUUGGGUCUUGCCCAGGACAUACAGAUGCAUGUAUUAUUUUUACUUGUAUCUUCUAAUCACAUAGUUCCUGCGUUUGCUUCGUC